UACGUAGGGGCUAGCGUUAUCCGGAAUUACUGGGCGUAAAGGGUGCGUAGGUGGUUUCUUAAGUCUGAUGUGAAAGCCCACGGCUCAACCGUGGAAGGUCAUUGGAAACUGGGGAACUUGAGUGCAGAAGAGGAGAGUGGAAUUCCAUGUGUAGCGGUGAAAUGCGUAGAUAUAUGGAGGAACACCAGUGGCGAAGGCGAUUCUCUGGACUGUAACUGACGCUGAGGCUCGAAAGCGUGGGGAGCAAACAGGAUUAGAUACCCUGGUA
rnacentral:rRNA from 1 species